UAGGGAAUAUUGGACAAUGGGGGCAACCCUGAUCCAGCCAUGCCGCGUGAGUGAAGAAGGCCCUCGGGUUGUAAAGCUCUUUUGUCCGGAAAGAAAAGCUUCGGGUUAAUACCCCGGGGUUCUGACGGUACCGGAAGAAUAAGCACCGGCUAACUUCGUGCCAGCAGCCGCGGUAAUACGAAGGGUGCAAGCGUUACUCGGAAUUACUGGGCGUAAAGCGUGCGUAGGUGGUUGUUUAAGUCUGAUGUGAAAGCCCUGGGCUCAACCUGGGAAUGGCAUUGGAAACUGGGCAGCUAGAGUGCGGUAGAGGGUAGUGGAAUUCCCGGUGUAGCAGUGAAAUGCGUAGAGAUCGGGAGGAACAUCUGUGGCGAAGGCGACUGCCUGGACCAGCACUGACACUGAGGCACGAAAGCGUGGGG
rnacentral:rRNA from 1 species